CUCCAGAUCUCCCCCGCCCCCACCCCACACAUCGCCUUUUCCUCUCCCGAGCAUGCCCGGCCGCCGCCGCCGCCCCCCGUCCCCCGUUCGCUAGGGUUGAGGUCGCUGGGCCUCCUCCGGCGGCAAGGUGCUCGGCGAGGAUGAGAAGAACGCCGGGAACGUCUCCGCCCGGCCCGAGGUCACCGACACUGGCGCCCCGAGCACCUUCUCCUCAGGCGUCGCCGCCCCGUUCCUCUUAGACUCCGACGCUGCCGGCCACCUGCACCGCCGUCCUCUUCAACUCUUCUGCUUCGUCGACGGUCGCCACCACGCAUCGAGGCCCAAGUUUGGAGGAAGAAGACUCCCAGGGACACCUCCAACUAAAUUGCUCAUGGCCAAUUAUCCUCAGCCCACAUAGCACCUAGCACCGACGUGAGGUGAGGAUCUCUGUCUUCCAGGAUAUUAAGUAAACUUUCUGGAUCUCUGUCUUUCGUAUCUGGAUAUAACCAAGAAGCUGGAUAUUAAGUAAACCAGGACAUAUUUUUGUCUUCCAAGAUGUGUUCUUUUGACAUAUAACCAGGAAAUUAAGUAAACUUCCUGGAAGGCACCUGCAAUAUACUCCUUAGUAUCCAAGAUGUGUUAAGAAGAUGCCAGGGAACAAAAAGAACAACAAAGUUGUGAGACUUGGCAAUGUGAUUGAAAGGUUAGGCAAGUUGACGGGGGUCAUAAAGAAGGGCACCGGUGCGACACGUUCCACACAGGUAGGCAGGGCCAAACCCGCACAACGAGCCACGGUGGAUGGUACCCAGGGUAGACGAAAUGGUCGUACCCUUGUGUCCCGUGUUGCUAGCCCUAUCCCCUCUGCCCAUUCUGAGGAGUCGGAGGAGGAGAGGGAGGAGGAGCUAGUUAUGGAGGAGAGGGAAGAGGAGGCAGAGGAGGAGGGGGAGGAGGAGCUAGUUGUGCAGGAGGAGUUGGAGGAGGGAGAGUAUGAGGUGGAGGAAUCGGCAAAGCACAUGGAAUGGCCGGUUCCUAAGGAGACCAAAAUCUAGUUGCGUGGGGUGUCCACGCUGCCUUCGCGACCAUAUCCACAUAAGGGGAUCAUUGUUAAACCAGUUGGUGUGAGGGCCUUGGUGGUUAUUCCAGAAGGCACAAUCCCGCCAUGAUAGCCAAGCACCAUCAUUAGAUGUCUUUGUAGGCAUUAUUAACCCGGCCUGGUUCCCAUAGGAGACGGUGAGGAGGAGCCAGCUUGGUCUUGGGAGCAUUGGAAACGCGCUCCAGAUACGAAAGACAAGUGGGACAGGGAGUACCGCAGUGCUUCUGAGCGGGUGGUCAACGAUUUUUGGGACUUCUUUACUUGCGUUGAGGGUAUGGAGGAUGAAGCUAAUGAGGUCGUGGAGGAGAUUGCCAAGAAGAUUGUCCAAGACAUGCCUUACGAGGCUCGCGUCAAUGCUGUGGUAAAGUAUUUCGCGCAUGAACGCAAGAUCCUUCUUAAAAAGCCGCUAGCCCGGAGAGUGCAUCUCACCCGUUCCAUGUACAUGAAGGCGGUUCCCCUGUGGUGCAACAACAAGAUUCCUUGCUACCAGCAAAUCAUAUCUAGGUGGAUAAACCCAGAGUGGAGGGCCACACGCAGAGCAGCUUCGGAGCGACGUGCCUUGAUGGGUGGUCCGGUACACCUUCAAGGCAACCUCAACCUCCAUGCUUACGUGCAGAAGAAGAAUAGGGAGAGAGGUGAGGGUGAAGAGUCGCUCAAUACCUUCACGGGAUGAUGUCUCUCCCGCAAGUCAAAGAAACUGGAAGGGGGGUGGGUCAACCCAAGGGCUGGGUUGAGGAUUGAUGCAUAUAAUGGGAAGUUCAAGGAGUGCAACGGGCCCAACUCUGAUCCAGCCUCACAUGACAUUGAUGUUACGGUUUCCCUCAAGUCGGGACAAGGCAAGAAGCGUGGGCGGUUAUAUGUUGGUGACGGUUCCAUCCGUAAGAAGGACAUUCCAAAACUUGCCCAUCUCCGUGCUACCACGUCGAGCUCAGGCUCGCCUAGAGGAAGAAAGCAGGUUGUGGCAGGAAGAAACCAGGUUGCGGCUGGAGGCUCAGGCCAAUGCCCUACUUCAACAGGAGCAAGCCAUGAAAAUGCAGCAAGCCCUGUUUCAGCAGCAGGAAUUCAUGGUUAAACAGCAGGCGGCCCUGCAGGAGACGUUCGCUCGGUUCAGUACUAAUAUGCAGGGUUCUACUUUGCGGAUCUUCCUCCUGUUCCGCCGCUUCCUACUUUUAGCUUUUGUCCUCGAUCGGGAGAAGACUCCAAUAACUUUGUGGUAGGUGGAUCUACACCUGCCCAAGCAAGCCCAGUGACACCCACUGCGGCUCAUGGUGCUUCAACCUCCACACCACAAUGAUCACUCGAGGAUUGCAUCGUGGAUGUCAUCAAUGGUGGGCAUACAUGCUGUGGUGGAAGCUGAUUGCAUCUUUUAGGUUGAACUCAUGCUAGGUGUGAACUUGGAACUCAUGAUUCCAUUUGUGGACUCUUGUUGCAUCUGUAGGUGAACCCUUGUUGAAUAUGUACGCUUGUGGACUUUGAACUCAUGGCCCUUUUGUUUGUGAACUCUUGUUGCAUAUGUACACAUGUUUUUGUGAACCUUCUUUGAAUAUGUAUGCAUCUGUGGACUACUCAUGGUUGGUUUGU